rnacentral:misc_RNA from 1 species
CCCCAAUGGGUUCUCCGGAUUUCUGGAGACUUGUAGGGGUUGUGGGAUUUUUGAUGUGUCGUCUCCGGACGGGCGGUGCAGGGUAGUCGAGUUAGACUUGGUGGAAUUCCGUCGAUAGGAGUUCCGUCGAGUCUGGUCGGCUGUGUGUUGGACGGUGCAGGGUAGGCUGCUUGGAGAUGGUCGGUUCGAGGAUCGAUUCGAGGGCCGGCCUGUCGAUGGUGUGUGAUGUAUGCGGUCUAGGGUAGGCUGGUUUGUCUUGGUUCGAUUUGAUGUCGGCUCCCGUGCAGGCCAGAGUGAGGGGGGUCCAGGGUAGGUACAGGGUAGGCAGCUUAGAUUUGGUUGAUCUGGAGGUCGAUUCUCCGGCUGGCGGAUCUGACAGUGUCGAAACGAGAUGCGAGCGGUGUAGGGUAGGCUAGUUUCGUCCUCGCCAGGUUGCGAUUUGGACGAGAUGUGUGGUUUAGGGUAGGCUCUAGGGUAAGUAGAAUUCGAGUUUCGUCGCCGACAGUUUUCUGUGGGUGUAUGGUAGGUACAGGGUAUGCAAAUCUCUCUCCGGCCAGUACUUGUCUGGUGGUCGUGAGUCGAUUUUUUUGUUUUGCCAUACUAUUGAAUUUUGCGGAAAUUCAAAAGUGGCUCGGGAGUCCCGCCUGGCGUGCGUCCGACUCGAACAUCGUCGGUGUACAUAUGAGAGGGAGUAAUCCGGCCCGGCCGGGGCCCAUCGCGAGCUGCCGGGUAGGUAAAAGUAAAAAAGUUGUUAAGAGGCGCGGUGUCGGCGUGCUUGUAUUUGCGGGAGAGAAUUAUCUGGGGGUGCUGGGUAGCCGGGAAGACUUGGACGGAUCUGGCCCGGGAAUGGGUCUGGGCCUGGAUUCUGGUGUGGUGUAGGGUAGGCUUAGAUAGAUGAGUGGUCUAGGGUAGAUACAGGGUAGCCAGACGUCUGGUAUAUAGUAUGGGGGUGUAGGGUAGGUCUGGACACCGUUUUCCACUUCGCCCUUCCCUUUAGUCGAGGGAGGACGAUCUUGGCUGGGACGGAGGUGUAGGGUAGGCUUAAUUUACAAUUACAUGAUCUGUGUCACUCUAGGGUAGGUGAAAAUCCCAUAUAUAUCUGAUCACAUUUGGUGAGGAGGUGGUUUGGCUGGUGAGAUGGACAAAAGUGCAAUGUAGAAUUAUAUGUGAUUUUGCAAAAGUGGGUGUGAAAUUGGAAAGUCGGUUUUCCCGCACAGAUGAGAGCACGUUUGAGGUGCCAUGAGAUGCACCUCUCCGAGACGACCUCAACGGUACCACCCAUGUGUUGGUCGGGCUCCUGUGCGGCCGUCCAGGGCGGGAUAAGUAGAGAGUGUGGUGGUGUAGGGUAGGUGACCAGGUCCAGGGUAGGUUCGCCAAAUCCGUCAAUCCGGCUUGAAUCGAAGGACAGGUCUAGGGUAGGCCAGAGUCGGGUCUAGGGUAGGCAACCCUCACCCUCGAAGUGGUCUACCCGGUAGCCAACUUCAAUCGCCUCUCACGGCCGCCACGGACCUCGCAUGACGACGGGACUACCACCAUCGGAUUCGCCUUGGUCGAAAUAGCUGGUAUAUGCACUUUUGAAAAAAUGCGUGCAAAAUGGUUUUGUGGUUUGGUGGCCGUGAGUCGAUUUUUUUGUUUUCCCAUACAAAUGAAUUUUGCGGAAAAUAAAAAGUGGCCCACGAGGCAGUCCUGGCGUGCGGCCCACUAAAACGGUCUCGGAGGGUAUAUGAGAAGGGAGCAAAUCCGGCCGAGCCUGAAAGGGUGAGGACAAACCGGGCGAGCAACCUCUCAGUAUCAGAUCUUGCAGACUUCCACUGCGUGUCCCUCUGUACAGCUUUGCAGGCUCCGGCCUCGGCAGCGGGGGGUUCAUAGUGGUCGUCGACCUCCACGAAACUGCACGCUCCGGCGUGACAGCGUACUGGGGAUGCCUGUGUAGAUGCAGUCCGGGCUUGCCUGGACCGCUAGCAGAUGGGCUCUGUGGAUGACUGGCCGCUGGCUAGACCUGAAACCUGAGCAACGGGAGGUAACCUCUCG